rnacentral:rRNA from 1 species
GAUGAACGCUGGCGGCGUGCCUAACACAUGCAAGUCGAGCGAACAGAUAAGGAGCUUGCGCCCUUGACGUUAGCGGCGGACGGGUGAGUAACACGUGGGUAACCUACCUAUAAGACUGGGGUAACUACGGGAAACAGGAUCUACUACCGGAUAAUAUUUCGAACCGCAUGGUGCGAGAGUGAAAGAUGGUUUUGCUAUCAGUUAUAGAUGGACCCGCGCCUUAUUAGUUAGUUGGUAAGGUAACGGCUUAGCAAGGCGACGAUACGUAGCCGCCCCGAGAGGGUGAUCCGCCACACUGUAACUGAGACACGGCCCAGACUCCUACGGGAGGCAGCAGUAGGGAAUCUUCCGCAAUGGGCGAAUGCCUGACGGAGCAACGCCGCGUGAGUGAUGAAGGUCUUCGGAUCGUAAAGCUCUGUUAUUAGGGAAGAAGAUACGUGCAAGUACCUGUGCACGUCUUGACGGUACCUAAACAGAAAGCCCCGGCUAACUCCGUG